rnacentral:snRNA from 1 species
AUACUUACCUGGACAGGGUCAAUGGGCGUUCAUGAAGGCCCAUGGCCUAGGUUAGUGACCUCCAUUGCACUUUGGAGGGGUGCUCGCCUAAGGUCAGGUUAGUUCUUGUAGAAAA